rnacentral:rRNA from 1 species
CCACCUACCUCUCCCACACUCUAGAAAAGUAGUUUCAAAUGCAGUUCUGUAGUUAAGCUACAGGAUUUCACAUCUGACUUACUUUCCCGCCUACGCACUCUUUACGCCCAGUGAUUCCGAGUAACGCUUGCACCCUCCGUAUUACCGCGGUUGCUGGCACGGAGUUAGCCGGUGCUUAUUCGUUAGAUACCGUCAUAAUCUUCUCUAACAAAAGGAGCUUACAAUCCUAAAACCUUCAUCCUCCACGCGGCGUUGCUGCUUCAGGCUUUCGCCCAUUGAGCAAUAUUCCCUACUGCUGCCUCCCGUAGGAGUCUGGACCGUGUCUCAGUUCCAGUGUGUCCGAUCACCCUCUCAGGCCGGAUACCCGUCAUAGCCUUGGUGAGCCUUUAC